rnacentral:rRNA from 1 species
UACGAAGGGGGCUAGCGUUGCUCGGAAUUACUGGGCGUAAAGGGAGCGUAGGCGGACAUUUAAGUCAGGGGUGAAAUCCCAGAGCUCAACUCUGGAACUGCCUUUGAUACUGGAAGACUUGAGUCCGGGAGAGGUGAGUGGAACUGCGAGUGUAGAGGUGAAAUUCGUAGAUAUUCGCAAGAACACCAGUGGCGAAGGCGGCUGUCUGGUCCGGUUCUGACGCUGAGGCGCGAAAGCGUGGGGAGCAAACAGG